ACUCCUACGGGAGGCAGCAGUAGGGAAUCUUCCACAAUGGGCGAAAGCCUGAUGGAGCAAUGCCGCGUGAGUGAAGAAGGUUUUCGGAUCGUAAAAACUCUGUUGUUGAAGAAGAACAUGCGUGAGAGUAACUGUUCACGUACUGACGGUAUUCAACCAGAAAGCCACGGCUAACUACGUGCCAGCAGCCGCGGUAAUACGUAGGUGGCAAGCGUUGUCCGGAUUUAUUGGGGCGUAAAGAGAAUGUAGGCGGUUUUAUUAAGUUUGAAGUGAAAGCCCUCGGCUCAACCGAGGAAGUGCUUCGAAAACUGGUAAACUUGAGUGCAGAAGAGGAAAGUGGAACUCCAUGUGUAGCGGUGGAAUGCGUAGAUAUAUGGAAGAACACCAGUGGCGAAGGCGGCUUUCUGGUCUGUAACUGACGCUGAGAUUCGAAAGCAUGGGUAGCAAACAGGAUUAGAUACCCUGGUAGGAAGCG
rnacentral:rRNA from 1 species